rnacentral:tRNA from 1 species
GGGGUUGUGGCUCAGAGGUAGAGUGCUCACCUAGCAUGCGUGAGGCACUGGGUUCAAUUCUCAGCACCCCG